rnacentral:rRNA from 1 species
UACGGAGGGUGCAAGCGUUAUCCGGAAUUACUGGGUUUAAAGGGUGCGUAGGCGGCUUCAUAAGUCAGGGGUGAAAGCAUAUCGCUUAACGAUAGAAUUGCCUUUGAUACUGUAAAGCUUGAAAGGGGUUGAGGUCAGCAGAAUGUGGCAUGUAGCGGUGAAAUGCAUAGAUAUGCCAUAGAACACCGAUUGCGAAGGCAGCUGGCUGGGCCUACUUUGACGCUGAGGCUCGAAAGCGUGGGGAGCGAACAGG